CUGACAAGGCUAGGGAUCGAACCCACAACCUCAUGGUUCCUAGACAGAUUUGUUUCCACUGCACUACAACAGAACUCCAGCCACAGUGUUUUACAGCUCCUCUCAAUGAGAGGUGGAGUCUAUUCUCUCAUCCCUUAAGUAUGAGCAGCACCUGUGAAUUAACUCUAAGCACAUUUAACAGUGUUAAUGUUUGGGGUCUGGAGCCUAGGCCUCAGGAGUCCUUUCAGCCUCUGUCUUCCCCCACUUGGAAUCCUGCCCUGAGACUUCCAUGAACAGAAGCUGGUUCAGCCUCCAUGAGGAUAAAAAGCCUUGUGGAGGGAAACCAAGGUGCCCCAGACAACGGCCAGCAACAACUGCCAGGGUCUCAGGCCAAUGGACCAGUAGCCUGUGAUUCUGAUGAGCGCUCUGAAAACAGGUGAAAACUGUUCAUCCCUUCUUUGGCGUCCUCAUCACAGGUGGUAGAAUUGAACUGCUCCUAGCAGAACCUGGGAAGAAAUACCUCGAGUCAGUUUGUUUUCUGAGUUCUGCCACGGUUAACGGACUUCCUGUGCAGGAGAUGCAGCUGUAGCCUGGCCACAGAAACAGAAGCAUACAGUUUCCACCUCUGACAAUGAAAGCUGGGCCUCGUGAGAGCUGGGAAAACCUGGGUCUGAAUCUUCCCACUUAGCUCGAAGCUCCUGUCUGGACCACAGCAGCCAAUUCUCACAACAUACAGUAGGAUCACGGCGUGAAGAGCACUGACUUAGAAGCUGCAUACGAACACGGCAAAUGACCAGAGAGCAGACACACCAGCUCUGGUGGGACAGCGUUCCUUGGGGAAAACACAGAGACAGGAACAGAUGCUGAAGAUGAACAGCAGGGAUCUCUUGGGAAAAAAUAUAUCUUCAAACAAGGGAGAUCCAGAAAAGCUUUUGUCUUCCAGGCUAGACUAUAGCCUUCUAUGGCCAAGAUGGAAACAGGCUGCAAUGUGGAUAUGAUGGCUGGAGCUGAAGCAGCCAUCCUGUGACCCUGAGAAUGGAAGCCAUUUAUUAAGGCUGAGGAGCUGACCUAAGAGCUCUGAAUGCCUACUUCUAGACUUUCUUUUAGAAAGAGAAACAAAUACUUAUGUAUUUAAGACAUCUUUUUCUUGGGGGUGAGGGAGUAACCUAAUCCUGAUAUGAUUGGUCUUUUUUUUUUUUUGGAAUGAUUGACUAUGGGAAUUUCUCCUUUCUUAAGGAGUAAUACCAACCCCCACCACUAGGGGGUGAUGUUGCUCUAUAUGCUGCAACGUGACAGUUACAUUAUUACAGAGGUCCAAACUCAGUAUAUUCUGUAUAAUUUAGUUUAAAUAACAGUGUGAGUGAGACAGCUAUGGCCCAGUAUGUUUGGGCUGAGCUUUGAUGAACUCCAUCAAAUUCCUCUAGCAUGAGAUCUGGAUUUCAAGUUUUUCUUGUUUUUUCAACUCUAGACCCUCAGCUUCUGCAAGCAAGCCCCCAAACCAAAGAAAGUAUACAUAGAGGAAGCUCAGAUUAAGGCAAAAAACAGUUUGUAUUUGUAUUUCCAAACGGAACAGUGAGCUUCCAGUUCAAAUGGCAUUGAAGUUAAUGGUAACUGCACUUUCUAAUAAGAAGCACUGGGUUGGAGUUUCCUUGUGGCUCAGCAGGUUAAGAACCUGGCAUAGUCUCCAUGAGGCUGCGGGUUCUAUCCCUGGCCUUGCUCAGUGGGUUAAGGAUCCAGCGAUGCUGUGAACUGUGGUGCAGGUUGCAGAUGUGCCUCGGAUCUGGUGUUGCUGUGGCUGUGGUGUAGGCCUGCAGCUGCAGCUCCGAUUCAACCCCUAGCCUGGGAACUUCCAUAUGCUGCAGGCACGGCCAUGAAAAGAAAAAAAGAGGAAGUAGCAGCAGCAGUGGGUCAACACUGGCUUUAUGUUUGUGUAAAUAAAGAUCCCUGUCUGGGAGGUCUAAUGAAGGUUCUGCUAUGAAAGGAUUUAUUGAAAUUUUCACUUCCUCAAGGUAGAAAAUCACUUGAAGUACUUAAGUGACUUUUUCCAGUUUAUACUCAUCAAAGUUUCAAAAAUCUCCAGGCUGGGAGUUUCAGUCAUUAAAAAUCUGAUGUGAUGGGAGCAAUUUAUCUAGCUCUCACUCUGGCUCAGGGCAGGUUGCUUUCUCAAAAUGAAAGUACAGUACCAGUGCUGUAAAAAAACAAAACAAAAAAAGCCCCACGCAAAACUAACCAACAAAGGAACCUGUGGUUGUAAAAAAUCUUCUUUUGACAGUUUCAGAUCACAUUGCCUUGGUAUCAUCUGUGCCCUCCUUGUCUACCUUUCGUUUAUACCCCAACACUGUGGAGUUAAGUAGAGUUUGGGGGGGGGGCUUCAUAGCAAACUAAUAAUCCUGGAUUUCUCUUCUCAGUUUCCUUACUAAAGUGGCAUGUUGGGUAUAACCAAAACUCCCUGUGGAAUGGAGAAAUAGUCACUUUUCUUUCUCCUCUUAAAGAUAACACUGGAAGUUUUCAUAUGUGAUAAAAUCGGUAGCCUCCAAGUAGGUGAAAGGCCCCUAAUUAACUGCCCACAGGCAGGGAAUUAGGUAUCCGCUUCCUCAGGGGGGGUCCCUUGAGGGUGGGGCUUCACGAACGCAAACACAAGAUGCCCAGUUAAACUGGAAGCAUUUUUGGUAAUUUUUGAGAUACUCUUAUACUAAAUAGUUACUCACUGUUUAUCUGCAACUCCAAGUUACUAGCGUGUCAUGGAUUUUAUCUGAUAACUCUGUGGGGGUGGGGUGGAGGGAAGGCAGAAAAAAAAAAAAAAAAAAAAAAAAAAGCAGAUUCUGGGAUCCCUCAAGGGGACUGCCCCGGGGAAAGUCACUGACGAAAAACAAAACAGCCACAAACCACUGUGGGCAGGUGUUCCAGGGUAAUUCAUGCCUUCUUCUUAUGUGUGUUGGCAGUAGCUCGGAUGUCUUCCCUCUCUGGGUGUAUUAAGAGCUCAGUUAGGGAUGCUGAUCACCUGGCUCAUCAAUGUCCACUGAGGAAUAGAUGGGAGGGACCUCCUCAAGCCCCAAGCUUUUGGGAUUGUGGGUUCUGUCCUUUCAGACAUAUAUCUGUGUGGGGCUGGGAUGCUGGGUGUCCUCUUCUUAGAGACACAGCAAUCCGUCAUUGCCUUGAGGUCCAGAGUCCCCAGUUGUCCUUUAGAAGGCAGCUUGUCCAAAUGGCAGAAUAAGAAAAAGAUUUGGUUUGACGCCCUUCUUGAGUUUAUGUGCUCUGGAGUACCCCUUCUACCAGCCCUGCCCAACAUCUAUUUUCCAAAUGCCUGGCUUAGUCAGAGUCUAAUCAGAAUCCAUUGAAUAAAGAGAAUACGCACCAUCUCCUCUGACUCUAGAAACGAUACACGUGGGCAGUGUUCCAUUUUCUGCCUUUUUAGUCUCCAUUCCAGGCUUCGUACAAAUACACACACAUGAAACAUACUGAACUACGAGUCACUUUCAGGGUGACAUCGCAGGUAAGGAGUCCUUCUUUCAUUUGAAUUCCCUUCUGACAUUGAUUCCUGUGUUCAGUAAAGUGAAAGGUCUCACCAGCUCUGGGUUUCUUGCUUUUUGGCAGGGAGAUACCUGAAGACUUGGCCUCCCUCUAGAAUAAGCACCCCCCCCCCACUGUCCUCUCCCACUGCUGACUCAAUUCACUUGCCCUCAGGUCUUAGCCCUCCCAGGGAAGCUUCUUCCUUAUAUCUCAUCUAAAUCUUUACCCAUCUUCUCUAGGGAAAAAAACCUACCUUUAUCUUCAGUAUGAGAUAUCAUCCCUCCUUCCCACGUCAAGAUCCCAGGUCUGUUUUUCAGUCUGAUGUAGCCCCACUGGAUGCUCAGAGAUGUUUAUGGACAUCAAAAUCUUUUUUUUUUUUUUUAACUCCCAUCAUAACGGGUAACUGUGGAUCUCUCUGGUCACAAUGUGGCUUCAUUUCCCAGUAUGAGCUGCAGGCACACCAGCCCUUUGAAUCAUGGACUGGUUAAACUGGGCACGUAUACUAUCUCAGGGAGGAGGUGGUCAGAACCCUCAUUGAGAGAGAUCUAUUUUCUCACUGGCCAGGCAGCCUAGCCCCAUUAUUGUUCAGAAAGCUUUUCCACCUUUCCGCAGUGUGGAGAGAGGAGCUAGGUUACCCGUUAACGAAUGCUCCCUUGAAAAGGCCAGGAAGAACUCUAGACUGGAUUAAAUUAUUUAGGUUCAACCCGUCUCCCCUGGGGAAAAGGGAAUGUAGGGGUGAGUUUGGUUGGCAGUUCUUAUUAUAUGGAUGUUUGCUGGGACGUAAUUUGGACCCUCAUUUCCUUUAGAUAGCCUUCCUGAUUUUGGUCCUCUCUAAAUUAUGCAUGAAGUUGCUUUUACAGCAGGAUACUGUGAGAUUAGCUGCUCAGAGAUAAUGUUAUUAUUUCCACCUUAUGUUAUUUUUUAUCACAACUCCUAGAAUCCAGUUCUACCAUCUUCUUAUGUCUCUUUGUUCCUUCUGGAAUGCUUUGCUCUGACUCCUGUUUCCCAGGUACCACCGGUUCCUGCCUUACAUCUGGCUUUCUUGGACUUCCAGAUCUUGGCACAUACUCCUGGUCUGGAAUAAUCGUUUUUUCAUCCCUCUUGCAUCUGACCUACUCACACUUGUCUUUCCUGUCUCAGAGUAGCCGCACCGACUUCCUUAGAUGGGCUUCUUAAACUUUGGUAUGCCAAAGUAUCAUCUGGAGAUCUUUUUUAAAAGAUAAUUUCUUUUUUUCAUCUCUA